AAAGCUUACACCCAUUUGUAGUAAACGUAUGUAUUUUAUAGAUGAUAAAUGUGACAACCGAUUACAUUCGAAAUUGAAGUUCCGACACUAAGCAAUAUGAGUCGGAACGAAUAAAAGUGAUCAAAACCAUGGUUAAUGGUAAAAUGGACAAAAGGGUAAUUUAGUCGUGAAUCGACUAAGAAUUUAUAAGAUUUCUUUAAGGUUACCUUAUAGCGAAACUAGUAAUGGGAAAAAGGGUAAAUUAGUCACAUGUUGACUAUAUGUAAGUUGGGAUUAAAAAGGAUACCCAUGGUGUAAGCCAUAACGAGUUAGAUACGUAAGAAGAAUGAUCUUGUAGUUAAAACUUGAAAUGGGUCGGAUGUGUGAAUGGGAUAUUAAAAGCCAUGAUUUGACAUAAGUAUAAAUGUUUGGUCAUAAAUACCAAAUGGGUCAAAUGGUGGUGAUGACACUAUUUGACAAUAUCGACUAAUGUUUGGUUGUUAAGUUAAAUGUUCGCAGGAGUGAACGGGAAGUGGAUUAUUGCGUUGCUAUAAAGUAGCGGCUAAUAAAAGAAAGGUACAAAACGGGUCUAUAUGUUGACUCGAGCCAGGUGAAUGCCAAGAGUGCCCGGAUGAAGAUCAAGCUCGAUGAGGAACCGAACACAAUAAAAUCUAACACUCGGGAUUAAAGCUUCCGCACGGCGUUACGCCAUAUCUUUUAAACAACGAACUUAUCUAUAUUAUGUUGAAAACUUUUAAGUUGUAAAAGUUUUAGAUUACUUGUAUUUUCUAAGAAUACUUAAUCGAAAUUUCAUGUUUAUUUUCGUUAUUUAUACGAAAACUUUAAAAAUUA